CCACGCCAGCGCACCGCUGUCGCUCCUAGUUUCCUCUUGAGUCCAGAAGAAGGGGAGACAUGAAGAUGUCGCCCAAGAUAACUGCAUGAGCUGCUUUGCAAGUGGCACCUCGGGCUCUCCCCGUUUGAAUAGCCGCAGUGCAUCUCGCGACUGUCACGCGCAAGAGACUCAAGGAAGUUGCCACCUUCUGCCUUCGUUUGUUUGGCUGUGGUUGUCUGAUACCACUUCGCGAAAUAGUGGCUUUCAGUUGUUCCAGCAGAAGGAGGGUAGGACCCCUUUCACAGUCUUGUGUAAGCGUGAUAUUGCCGUCCAUUGGCGGUGUUUGCACUUCCAAAUCGAGGCACCUCGUGAAGGUCAGGCGUGUACGUACACCUGGACUGACGGGCCGUUCUUGGCUUGACGAGUGGUACGACACAACCGUGAGGUCAUUUGCGACGCUCUGUCGGGGGACGGCUUCGAAGCGCAUCGGCUACCUUAAGGAAACAUGGAAGCGAAGAAGUGCCCCGGUUCACAUAGGAAAAUAUGCCUGAAGUUAUUUCGUUGUCAGUCCACUGUCUUGAACGAUUCGCGCACUACGUGGGCGCAAAAACGCAGUUCUAGGCUGAAAUGAUAUAAACAGAGUCCUUCGGGGAACGGAGCCCGCUGUACAGCGGACAAUCUCGCACCUUCUCGGUUCGUCCGGAGAGUUCGCGGCGGGACUGCCCUUUUGUCGUCUGCUUUUUGCCCGAUUCUGCCCGGUAGAUUCACAAGUAUCUGAACGUGCAUUUCCUGUUUUUCGCUUUCCAGUAUACCCUUUUUACGCGUCCUCAGCCUGAAGAUGUUAUCGGGUUCCUUCUACGGCUCAGUUUUUCCUUCCUGUCUGGCUACUUAGCAGCCUUCCUUACUUUGCCCCGCGGACAGGC
rnacentral:lncRNA from 1 species